GACAGAGGUGCCAAGCGUUAGGCGGAAUCACUGGGCUUAAAGCGUGUGUAGGCGGAUCGUUAAGUACCUUGUGAAAUCCCACGGCUUAACCGUGGAACGGCUGGGUAUACUGGCGAUCUUGAGCCACCUAGGGGCGAGCGGAACAAAUGGUGGAGCGGUGAAAUGCGUAGAUAUCAUUUGGAACGCCAACGGUGAAAACAGCUCGCUGGGGGGUGUGCUGACGCUGGAGACACGAAAGCCAGGGGAGCGAACGGG
rnacentral:rRNA from 1 species